rnacentral:rRNA from 1 species
GUGGGGAAUAUUGGACAAUGGGGGGAACCCUGAUCCAGCCAUGCCGCGUGUGUGAAGAAGGCCUUUUGGUUGUAAAGCACUUUAAGCGAGGAGGAGGCUACCGAGAUUAAUACUCUUGGAUAGUGGACGUUACUCGCAGAAUAAGCACCGGCUAACUCUGUGCCAGCAGCCGCGGUAAUACAGAGGGUGCAAGCGUUAAUCGGAUUUACUGGGCGUAAAGCGCGCGUAGGUGGCCAAUUAAGUCAAAUGUGAAAUCCCCGAGCUUAACUUGGGAAUUGCAUUCGAUACUGGUUGGCUUAGGUAUGUGAGAGGAUGGUAGAAUUCCAGGUGUAGCGGUUAAAUUCGUAGGUAUCAUCCAGAACACCGAUUGCGAAGGCAGGUGGCUGUACCUUAAUCGACGCUGAUGCACGAAAGCAUGGGGAGCAAACAGGAUUAGAAACCCGGGUAGUCC